rnacentral:rRNA from 1 species
UGGGGAAUUUUGGACAAUGGGCGAAAGCCUGAUCCAGCAAUGCCGCGUGUGUGAAGAAGGCCUUCGGGUUGUAAAGCACUUUUGUCCGGAAAGAAAUCCUUGGCUCUAAUACAGUCGGGGGAUGACGGUACCGGAAGAAUAAGCACCGGCUAACUACGUGCCAGCAGCCGCGGUAAUACGUAGGGUGCAAGCGUUAAUCGGAAUUACUGGGCGUAAAGCGUGCGCAGGCGGUUUGCUAAGACCGAUGUGAAAUCCCCGGGCUCAACCUGGGAACUGCAUUGGUGACUGGCAGGCUAGAGUAUGGCAGAGGGGGGUAGAAUUCCACGUGUAGCAGUGAAAUGCGUAGAGAUGUGGAGGAAUACCGAUGGCGAAGGCAGCCCCCCUGGGGCCAAAUACUGACGCUCAUGCACGAAAGCGUGGGGAGCAAACAGGAUUAGAUACCCUGGUAGUCCACGCCCUAAACGAUGUCAACUAGUUGUUGGGGAUUCAUUUCCUUAGUAACGUAGCUAACGCGUGAAGUUGACCGCCUGGGGAGUACGGUCGCAAGAUUAAAACUCAAAUGAAUUGACGGGGU